ensembl:lncRNA C3P1 complement component 3 precursor pseudogene
GAGGUGGCUGGCCAGGGCCCUUCAAAGUGAGGACAGUGCCCAUCCCUGCAGAAGCCCAGUGGCCAAUUGAGGCAGGAGGAGCUCCAGACAACAGCAUGUGAGGCAGGCGUGGAUUUUGUGUACAAGACAAAGCUGGAAUCUGUGGAGGUCUCUGCCUCCAACCCUUACGUCUAUUACAACACGCAGCUCGAAGACAUCAUUAAGAGUGGUACGGACCCUGCCACACCCCUGGCCAUGAAGAAAUUCGUCUCCCAUGCCACUUGCCAUGACUCCCUGGGGUUGCAAGAACAGGAAUCGUACCUCAUCAUGGGCCAGACGUCAGACCUGUGGAGAAUCAAAUCUGAUUACAGCUAUGUUCUGGGCAAGGAGACGUUCCUCAUCCUUUGGCCAGCAGAUGGAGAUGCCAGCAAGAAAGAAUUGCGGGACCAACUGGAGGAAUUUUUGGAAUAUAUGCGCACCCACGGCUGCCAGUCCUGAGCCUCUUCUGCUUUCAGGGAGGUGUCAUCAGGCAGCUCUGGGCCACUGGGUUUAACCCCAAAUAAAGAGCACAGGAUAUGACACCCAAA